rnacentral:rRNA from 1 species
CAGUCGCCGCGGGAAUACGUAGGUGGCAAGCGUUGUCCGGAAUUAUUGGGCGUAAAGCGCGCGCAGGUGGUUUAAUAAGUCUGAUGUGAAAGCCCACGGCUCAACCGUGGAGGGUCAUUGGAAACUGUUAAACUUGAGUGCAGAAGAGGAGAGUGGAAUUCCACGUGUAGCGGUGAAAUGCGUAGAGAUGUGGAGGAACACCAGUGGCGAAGGCGACUCUCUGGUCUGUAACUGACGCUGAGGAGCGAAAGCGUGGGGAGCGAACAGGAUUAGAUACCCCUGUAGUCCCUGUCUCUUAUAC